CCUACGGGAGGCAGCAGUCGAGAAUCAUUCACAAUGGGGGAAACCCUGAUGGUGCGACGCCGCGUGGGGGAAUGAAGGUCUUCGGAUUGUAAACCCCUGUCAUGUGGGAGCAAAUUAAAAAGAUAGUACCACAAGAGGAAGAGACGGCUAACUCUGGGCCAGCAGCCGCGGUAAUACAGAGGUCUCAAGCGUUGUUCGGAAUCACUGGGCGUAAGGCGUGCGUAGGCUGUUUCGGAAGUCGGGUGUGAAAGGCGCGGGCUCAACCCGCGGACGGCACAUGAUACUGCGAGACUAGAGUAAUGGAGGGGGAACCGGAAUUCUCGGUGUAGCAGUGAAAUGCGUAGAUAUCGAGAGGAACACUCGUGGCGAAGGCGGGUUCCUGGACAUUAACUGACGCUGAGGCACGAAGGCCAGGGGAGCGAAAGGGAUUAGAUACCCUGGUAGUC
rnacentral:rRNA from 1 species